GCUUUACUGUUCUUUUCAAUUUAAAGACUUUACUAAUGAUAAAAGGAACCUAUUCUUCACUUCUCAUUUUUACAUUAGGAGUCUUUUUUAUGUUAAAAACGUAUUGGGAAAAGUAUAAUUUGCAUUGGUUCUAUCACAAGGAUAGGUAGAAAUCUAGUGUUUUCUCAUUCUUGGGAUGUUUCCUCUGGACCCACCUUAAAUGGCAAAGUAGGGAAAUAUGGAUGCUCAGUGGAUAGUGACUACAAACUUGCCUAGAGAAGAGGUUCUAUUUGGGGAACAGCAGUAAAGGCAGUGGAAAGGGUGUUUGGGAUCUGAAUGGAGAGGACUAGACUCGGUUGCAUGACCCAGCACUGAGACCCAGAGUUAGUACUGAAAUAAGAUUUAAAGGAAGUGGAUGGAAAGAUAGAAAAGGAGACUCACUUUCUUUUGGAGUAAAAGGAGUCCCAGCUGCAGGUUUUUAAACUACACCAUGCCAACUCUUUUUUUCCUCCAACAAAACAAACCAAACAAACAACAAAAAAUAACCCUAUAUUUGUAUAAGUAACUAGCAAGUGAGAGACAGCUGGGCUGUCUAUCCCAUCUACCCUGGUAUAAAGGUUAAUAUUUGGGCUAAUGUCAUUAUGAGAGUACAUCUUGAAGUUGGAAAACAGUAAUUAUCUUUACCUUCCAGGCUGCUGAUGAUAAGAAUGAAGUCUGUCCCAGACCCACUGCCACUGAACUGGAGACAAGCAAGGACUCUGCUUCGUGAGAGCAUGAUCUACCCAGUGGAACCUGCAAUCAGAGGCACAUGGGGCUGAUCCAGAGAUGCUGUGUCACUCAAGAUAGAAGAAAAAAUCAAGCUGAAAUGCAGUUUCUGUGACAGGUGGAAAGGUUUAUGUUGCUUGAAGCAUUUAUUUUACAUGCAAUUUUAAGAUUGUGGAUCUUUCUGAAGAGGAGGAUUACUUGGAGGGAAAUCUCCACCUCUGUGUUUGUAAAUACUCUCUCAUCUGAAACACAGUAGAGCAGGAGCCUGAGGAUCUGGGAUGGUAACAACAUCUUGCAGCUUCUCUUUUUGCUUGAUGUUGCUCAAGCUCCAUCCCCCAGAAAUGGCUCCAUUUACGAGAAUCAGAUCACCCUUCCAGGAUGCCAUCUAGCUCCCCGUGUUACCCAAACUUCCCAUCAAAUCUGUAAGUCCCAUAACAUGAGGCAGUCGUUUCAUUUUCUGCUCAGGUUAGACCGAGUUGGUUUUUACUGUUUGCAACGAAAAGUUGUGACUGAUAAAAAUAUGUUUCCAGAUUUGACAGAAUUAAAUCAUCAAAUUUUUUUCUCACAAAAUA